ACAGACUGGAUUUUGUCUUCUGCAGUACCUAGACUCCAAGUUAGCCUCAGUGAUCCAUCCCUGAGUGUCAUCCCUCAGUGACACCUUCUAGUGUGUCACUUCUAAGAUUAGGUCAUAAAAGACCUUGUAAGUGCUUGUCAGGCUGGGCUUCCAGUGCAGGUCUUUGAGGCACUACUGUGGGACCACCAGCUUCAAAAUUGCAGUGCAGGUUCUGGCCCAGCAGUGGCCUGGGUGACUGCUAAGUGUUCUUCAGGGAGACAGCAGGGGCAGAGUUGCUGACCCUGUGAACAAAAUGAGAGAUGCUGAAGCAGGCAAGAAGAUCUUUAUUCAAAAAUGUGCUGGGUUCUACUCCUGAAACCAAGACUACACUGGUCUUUGAGUGGCUGGAUGGUUAUUCUGCUGGUCUUGCCUGGGCUCACUCAUGUGGGUCAGCAGAAACCUGGGACAGGAUGGAACAGCUGAACAUCUCCCUGUACAUGGCCUUUCACUCUCAAGGAGUCUUCACAUGGCAGCAGCAACAUUCCAAGAAGACAAGUCUUAGCAUGUUGUAGUACAUGUGCUGAUGUCCUAUUGGCUGAGGAAAGCCACAGGGCCAAGUCCAAUUAAAAUAGGAGGAGCUACACAGUGGCAUGGAUACUGGGAACUAUUAGUGUAACAAUCUACCACACAGUCCAAUAUACAGAACUCUCUAGAAUAUGAACAGCAUGCUCAAGGAAGCUCACAGUUGUAUAGGAAUGUAUUCUCCUGUGUCCAGGGAUGGUUUAUUUCUGCAGCUGUCUGAUGUGGAGUGAGUGGACAACUAAUAAAUUAUAAUAAACCAC